rfam:Oryza glaberrima chromosome 7 Oglab07_0061_14, whole genome shotgun sequence.
AAAAAGACAAACCCUGAGUUUUCGUGUCCAACGUUUUGACUGUCCGUCUUAUAUGAAAUUUUUUUAUAAUUCGUAUUUUUAUUGUUGUUAGAUGAUAAAACAUGAUUAAUAUUUUAUGCGUGACUUGUCUUUUUAAUUUUUUUAAAAUUUUUGUAAAUAAGACGGACGGUCAUUUGACGGAAGGAGUAUACGGCACUAUUGCAU